UUUUUCGUCCCCCAGCUCUUGCCUACUCCAUCUAGACUGUCUUUCCUCAGGUUACCAGCAUAUCUUUGGUGACCUUACUCAUUUCCAGAAAGACUCUUAAUUCUUCAACCUUAUUCUUUCAGCUUCUUUCCAGAUCUAGCAGAAUGAGGACAAGGUGUAAACUUUCAGUGUCUUGGGUGAUACAUGUCUGCUCUUCCUUGUCAUAGCAAACCUAGGAACGAUGUCCAUCAAGAAAGACCUCAAAUUCCUCUUAAGCCCAGCUUUCAUUCAGCCUUCUUUGCAUAGCUGGACCCCAAUUUUCCUCUGGAGAAGCAGCCUGUUAUGGUUUAUAUCUAAAUGUCCCCCUAGAGCCUCAUGUGAUCAUAGGCGGGACCUUAUGGAAGGUAUUCUGUGGGAUAUGUGAUCACCCCCACUUUACAGAUGAUGAAACUGAGACCCAGAGUGGAACCAAGGAGUUCAGACUAAGCCGUAAGUCCUGAUUCCCAGACAAGUAUCCUUUCUCCAAGAGAUAUGUGGAUGGCACUGCUCUUCAGAGGUCUCCUUCCCAGAUGGGAAAAUACCUCCCUGCCACAGGUACAGAUUCCUCUGUUGGGUGACAGUGAGGAUCGAGAAACAAAGGCAGAAAGAGGAGAGAAGAGAGACAUCAGGAGGAGGAGGUCAGAGAACUGUUCAAUCAACCUGCCAUUUUAGGGGAGGAAGCAAGUGGAGUUUCCUUAGUGUGUGACAGCAGAAGGCUCCUGGGGCCCCAGUCCUUGGCCCCAAACCAUAUUCUUCUCUAUCGGGGUGCUUCUGGCUGGGAAGAGGUCAGGUAAUCAAUCCCAAUGAGAAGAGGAGUAGACUGUCCCCAUGGUCAGAUGGGCCUGAUCCUAAAAGGCCCGGCUUCUGAGCCUCCCCCUCUGAUUGGGUCAACUUAGUAGGAUCCCCUUACUGCCCCACCCAUCCCACUCCACACCCGCCCUGUUGGCAUCUGUUCUAGAAAGAUGCAUAUGAGUUUAUUCCAAAUAUGGGAGACCUUUCUUCCUGCUUAAGGUGAAGGUCAGUGAUUCACAUGGCUAAAAAUGAACUUAAGGCCACUUACCCAAAAAAAAAAAACAAAAAAAAGCAGCACACAAAAAGUUAAAUUCCCCUGCUAUUUAAAUUACAGCAAGGAAUACAAAACCUUAUUUAGUAAUUACAACCAACACCCAAAGUAUGUAAACUUUAAUUAUAUGUGAUGGACCAGUGAGAGCAAAAUGAGGAAGAAAGAGGAGUGGGGAGGGUGGAGAAAGCCACAGGCUGACAGACAGAAGCUAGAGCAAGGUGAGGGCUGCACUCAGAAGCAGGGAAGCAGAAGAGGGGAGGCUGUGGCCUGGACAGUGUUUAAUAGUGGACUGACCAUUAGUCAUAACUCCUGCUGGUCAUCUUCCUUAAGCUUUCUGAAGCCCCUCUGGAAUGGGACAGCCACCAUACUCCUCUGGGGAAGGGGUGCUAGGUUACACACAGGAUAUUGGGAUAAACAACAAAUAACUUUUUAGUGUAAGUAUUCCCAAAUAUUGCCCGGGGCAUAUUUAUACUAAAAAAAUUGUUGCUUGUCUGCAAUUCAAAUUGUAGUGGAUGCUUUGUACUUUUAUUUGCUAAAAUCUGGUGACCCUACACCAGAGAGCACACCACUCGGGACUACAGUCUUAAUGACCAGGCCACUAUGUUCACGGAGGGUCAGGUGGAAAUCAAGUUCAGGUCACUCCUGGAAAAGAGGGAAGCAGCACAGAGAUUUUACAAAGCAGGAUGGGAAUCGGGAACUGGGGAAUGCUGACCCUCACAUUUUCACCUGUCAGCCAUUUAUCUCUGCUCUUCUCCAGGCUGACUGCUCUGGCUCUCUCUCCCUGCCAAGGAUUACAGAAACUAGAAAGUCAUACUGGGACUGGGGUAAUAUGGCCCAUGUGGAGCCCUCAGAAGAUUCUGGAAGUCUGUGGUAGCAAGUGAUCUUAUGGGAGCACUAUGGAACCCACAACAGCAAAGCAAAUACAGUCCCUAAGUUUUAGGGUGUUUAAAAAAUAAUUUUUUGUAGUACUGGUUAUUGAACCCCAGGGUCUCUGUACUAAGCUAUAUAUACCCUCAUUCUUUUUUUUAUCUUUUACAUUGAGACAGGGUCUUGCUCAGUUGCCCAGGUUGGCAUUGAACUUGCAAUCCUGCUGCCUCAGUCUUCCAGAGUGCUGGGUUACAGGUGUCCUGUUAAAAAAGAAUCUUAAACUAAAUUUUAACUGCUACAACUUUCUAAGGGACAUGACUAUGCCCAUUUCACCAGCCAGAGGGGAAGAUUAUGAAGCUGCCCUCCACUAAAGCUGCAGGUUCCUCCAGCAUUGCUGAGGAGGACCCACAGUGAAGGUCACUGCCCUUUGCCAAGGGGCCCGAGGAGGCUGGCUUGGGGCUGAAACAGAGUAGUAUAUCCAAAUCUGUAGAGUCCCAACUCAAGGAUCCUGGCUGGGGGAGCUGGCAAGUUACACACUGCAACAGCUGGCUACAGCAGGCGGCAUGUGACCGACUGACCACUUGCCACCAGUCCUUACUAUCCACCGACUGCCUCUCCAGCCAGUUCACGCACUUCCUCUCCUGGCCAGGCCCCUGGAGAUGGCCAAGGCUGGAAUGCAUAACACAGCUUCUAGACAUACAAAAGUCCAUGUUUAUGUACAAUAAUAAUUAUUAUUAUUAUAGCUUCAAGUGGAAUCACCCCAGAUAUUCUGUUCUGCUACUUUUUCCAGGUAACAAGAGACCAUGAAUACCUUGCAUGUCAGUUCAUACAGACUUAGUCAUUUAUUUUUAACUGCUGCAUGGUGUGUGGAGAUGAGAAAAUUUAUUUGACUAAUCCUUUGAUUUAGGUUGGUCCUUCAUUUCCAGUUCUAAACAAUGUUGAAAGGAAUAAUCAUAUACAUGUGCCUUUCCAUAGGCUAAACAGAAGUGAAAGGACUGGCUCAGUUGGUAUAUACAUUUAAACUUUCCGUAGAUACCAUUAAACUCCCUCUAACAAUGUACCAGUUUACAGUUUCAGUUCCAGCCAGGUAUGAUCUUGCCUGCUACUUCAUAGCUACAGCAAUCAGUUGAGAAUAAUCUCCUCUUCUGAGCCAGUAAGAUGCAGGGAAACGACAGGGCACUGCUGUUCUAGCUGGCAUUAUUAGUGAGGAUGAGUAUUUUUUAAAAUGUGUAUUGUUCAUGUCUAUGUCUUUUAACAAUUUAAUCAUCUAAUAUUUUGCAAGUAUUUCCUCUGAACAGAGCUUCAUCCACUUACAUCUUUUUUGUUUUGAGAUGAGACCUUCAUCAGUUGCCCAGGCUGGCCUUGAACUCCUUGGCUGAAGCAACUCUUCUGCCUCAGCCUCCUGAGUAGCUGGGACUACAAAGGGGGACGUACAUCUUAUGAGACUUCAUGUGAGGACUUGGAGUGAACGCCCCCUUUCUUCAGGGAGCGACAUCAAACUUACCAGAGCCCCUGCAUGGAGGUGACGCCCGCAGCUCCAGGUGGUAUCUGGCCCGGUCCCAUUCUCUGCAGCAUGAUACUCUCCGAGGCACCGUGUCAAGCUCAGGUGACCCUGUACCGAGACCUGGCCUAGGAAGCACACAGACACAUGCUGGGGGCUGAGAGAAUAGCUUUUCUUUGUGGAUAAAAAGAACUGAAUGAUAAGAAAAAUUUAUAUUCUUGCCUUUCUUCCUAUCUAGAAGGCUGGGAUGACAUCUGAGGUUCAACAGCCACCUUGUAACCAUGAGAACAAGCCUGAGGUCAAAAAGCCAACAUGUGGAGGAUGAGAACCAGAAAGACAGAAAGAGCCACAACCUUGCCUGUCAAUCUGUUUCCCUCUACCCCACUCUCCCUUUCACUUCCCAUCUGCUCCAAAUUCACUUUCCCUUCGUCUUUCUUUUAGCUAGGAGAAAUAGAAUUGAGGAAAGCUUCUAAAGAGAAGUCACCUUUCUCGAACCCAAAACACUGACCUGAGGUAUGAGCCCUGGAGUUCUUCAGAAGUCCUCAUUAAACACCUUCUCUUCUGUUUUGUAUCAACAAGAGCACAUGAAUACUGUCCAGGUGGUUUGGUGCCCACACGGAGGCCCCUGUUCAAAUGCACUAUGGCAUGUAAAACAGGCAGCAAGAAGGACCUCAUCGACACUGGUGUGUGCUUUUGGUCUUCACAAGCCUCUAGAACCAUGAGAAAUACAUUUCUUUUUUAUUCAACUGCUCAGUCUUUGGUAUUCUAUUAUGGCAGCAGAAGACAACAAACCAAGACAUUUCCUCCACUUAGUGAGCCUCUUCAGAAUGUGCCUCCUGAUUCCUCUGGUCACCUAUGGACUACUCACCUGAUAAGCACCACAGACCCUGGGAAAGAUGCUAACUCCCAAGGAAAUCCAAGUUUCCCUAGGAACUUCUUUCAUGUGUUUCUCUAUAGUUUUGUCAGUUUUUCUCUCCCUAGAAAACUCCAAUUUUCAUUAAAUAACACUUCAUUCAAGCACUUUUUUUUGGUUUUUUUUUGGUGCCAGGGAUUGAACCCAGGGCCUUUGCACUGAGCUACAUUGCUAGUUCUUUUUAAAGUUUCUAUUUUUUAAAAUGUUUUGUUUUUGUUUUUUUGAGACAGGGUCUCCCUAUGUAAUCCAGUCUGGCCUUGAAUGCAGGGCAAUCCUCCUCCCUCAGCCUCCUGAGUGCUAAAGUUACAGGGUAACAUGCCUGGCCAAAAAUUUUUUAUUUUUGAGACAUGGUCUCACUAAAGUCUCACUGAAGCAAGAGCGUUACCAAUUCAAGCCCAGCCUGAGCAACUCAGUGAUUUAGCAAGACCCUGUCUCAAAAUAUAAAAAAAGGAUGGGGAUGUAGCUCAGUGUGAAGGUCCUGGGUUCAAUCCCCAGUACCACAAAGAAGUUUUCCUCAGCUCUGAGACACUUCCUCCACAUCUCCCAGAGCCUCACUAGAGAAUUUAAUGUAAUGAUCUGAUGGUCUCUGUCUUUCCUUAGACUGUAUCUCUGAUCUCCGUUCAUCUUUGGUUAACUACCUCAGAGCUAGGAUAAUUUUUUUUUUCCGGUACCAGGGAUCGAACUCAGGACCUUGUGCUUGUGAGGCAGGCAUGGUGCCACUGAGCUAAAUCCCCAGCCCAAAGAAGAAACAUUCACCAUAUAUAUAUAUUUUUUUGUACUGGGGAUCAAACUUGGGUCCUUGUGCUUGCGCAGCAGGCGGCAAAACCACUGAGCUAAAUCCCCAGCCCCAGAGCUAGGAUAAUUUAAGAGCUCCAAAUCCCCCACAUUAUGUUAGCACUUUCACAGUGUGGAAUGCAUAAUCAAUCAGUAUCUUUCAAUAUAGCCCAACAUAGUGUGUAUGUCUGUGAUCCCAGCUACUUGCAAAUCCUCUGUACCACAACGAAUCAAUGAACAAACAAAACAAAACAGAAACAAAAAUAAAAAAACUUGAACGUGUAAUUUUAUUGCAGUAUUGGCCAUU